UACGUAGGUGGCAAGCGUUGUCCGGAUUUACUGGGCGUAAAGAGCGCGCAGGCGGUCGUUCAAGUCGCGUGUGAAAGCCCCCCGGCUCAACUGGGGAGGGUCACGCGAUACUGAUCGACUCGAAGGCAGGAGAGGGUAGUGGAAUUCCCGGUGUAGUGGUGAAAUGCGUAGAUAUCGGGAGGAACACCAGUGGCGAAGGCGACUACCUGGCUGUUCUUGACGCUGAGGCGCGAAAGCAUGGGGAGCGAACAGG
rnacentral:rRNA from 1 species